rnacentral:pre_miRNA from 15 species
AGUAAAGUAAGUAAAGGGAUAGUUCCCGAUCGAAUAUCAGUUGGGGUAUUUACAAAAAGACAAAAUUGUAAUGCCCUGAAUGAUGUUCAAUCGGUGAUGAAUCUCAUUUUUUAUUGUGUUU